AGCGAACGCUGGCGGCAGGCCUAACACAUGCAAGUCGAACGAACUCUUCGGAGUUAGUGGCGGACGGGUGAGUAACACGUGGGAACGUGCCUUUAGGUUCGGAAUAACUCAGGGAAACUUGUGCUAAUACCGAAUGUGCCCUUCGGGGGAAAGAUUUAUCGCCUUUAGAGCGGCCCGCGUCUGAUUAGCUAGUUGGUGAGGUAAAGGCUCACCAAGGCUAUGAUCAGUAGCUGGUCUGAGAGGAUGACCAGCCACAUUGGGACUGAGACACGGCCCAAACUCCUACGGGAGGCAGCAGUGGGGAAUUUUGCGCAAUGGGCGAAAGCCUGACGCAGCCAUGCCGCGUGGAUGAUGAAGGUCUUAGGAUUGUAAAAUCCUUUCACCGGUGAAGAUAAUGACUGUAGCCGGAGAAGAAGCCCCGGCUAACUUCGUGCCAGCCGCCGCGGUAAAAC
rnacentral:rRNA from 1 species